GAUAAACCCUAAACCCUUGGGAUUUAGGAUUUACCCAAGGGUUCAGGGUUAAGGAUUUAUUGUUUAGUAUUUUUAAAAUAUAGUUUUAAUGUUUAUGAUUUAGAGUUUAGGAUUUAUCUAAGGGUUUACGUUUUACCCGAGGAUUUAAGGUUUAGGAUCUAUGGUUUAGGGUUUAGUGUUUUGUUGACCGCAUUAACACUAUUAAACAAUUUUUUUUUUGGUAAUUACUAUUAUUUUUUAUUUAUUUUAAAAUUAUAAUAUAGCUUGACAAAUUAUUAUUAUCUUGUUUCUUUUUUUAAAAGAUAUUGAAUUUUAAAUAACUAAAAUUUAUUGGUUGGUGAACCUAGAAGUUCAUCGGGAUGAAUCUAAGAAUUCUUUUUUUUAAAUGCGUCUGUUUACAAACGUAUUGUAAUCCAAUUCAUUUAAAGAACUCUAACAGUAAAAUUUUACAAUCGUAAGUCUUUAAAAAAUAUGUAAAAUUACCGAUUAAAAUUUAUUUUUAUAAUUAUUCUACAAAAAACAAAAUUGUUUCAAACAUAAAGUUGAGUAUCCUACUAUAUAUUAAUUGAGAAGUCACUUGUGCUUAGGUGUCAUUUUAGGUGAAGUUUAGAAUUAAUUCUCAAACUUGAUUGAUUGUUGGUAUUUGAAUUUUCAUUUAUUUAAUUAAAGUUUUAAAAACGAAACUAAUCCUAGAACUACAUAAUCUAAUCUAUAUCACCAUAAAACAAUUAAAUAUUUUAAGAAAACAGAAUUAACAUAAUUUUUUAUAGAAACAAUUAAAUAUCAUAAGUUACAUUAUAUAAUUUUAAACAAAUACAUAUGGUAUGACAUAAAUAAUUAUAUAAACGAUUUUAACAUAUUUAUAUUAAUAGUGGAUACAAUAAAUUAUAGAUUACAAAAAACUAAUCAACCUAAACCUAAUAUUUUUUUGUUAUACUCACUAUAUAUAUAUAUUUUUUUUUUCUUCUUCUAAAAUGUGUCCAAUGAAUGCAAAACAGUCAAAUAUACAAUUUUAAGAACAUUCAUUCAUUUUUUAGUGACAAAUGUUGAUUGUAUAGUUGGGUUAUUACUUUCAGAAAUGAUUAAAAUAUUUGUAUAUUAAAAAACAUAAAAAUAUAUAGUAAGUCGGUUAAAAUAAUAUUAAUAAAUGAAAAUAUUUAUUAUAAUAUAAAAUUGAAAAAUUGGAACAUCUAACACUACUAAAAGCCGAAUAAGGAGAGCAACGAGCGUGCCAUGUAGGAUUUUUUAUUCAGGCCAAUAAGAUUUAUUUGCUUCGACACGUCAGAACAGCAUUGUCUACAGAAACUGGGCCUCUAUGUGGUUUCCAACAAAAUUAACAUGGCCAUGUGGAGCCCGACAAUUACAAUUCAACUUCUCAAUUCUCUGUGAUCGACUAAUCCACUAUAUCUUCUAUCUCUGUAACCCCCUCUUAAUCAAUGUUCUUUUUUUGUCCAAAAAAAAAAAUCAAUGUUCUUUUUAUACCUUCUGGCUGGUUUCGUUCCACCUUACGUUCAUCCUCCUCCUAUAUAAAUGGCUUCGUCUAAACCUAAAUCCUAUCAAAAUCGAAACCUAGCAGUAAGAUCAACUGAAACCACUAAUCACCGUAGAGCUCCUUCUGAUCGAUGAGCAGGUAUGAGAUUGACUUCCUCAUAUUCAUUUUUUUACGACUCAAUUCCACUUACCCAUACGAUAUGAAAUCGACUUCCUAAAGUGCUAGAUUUCUGUUUGUUAAGAUUUGUUCCACUGUCGUAACGAUUCAAUCCCUCUGAUUAAUUGGUGUGGUGUGAGCGUGAUUGUACCUCUGAGCAAUAAUAUUUUAAACGAUGGAGAUGACCACAAUCUAUAGUGUGGAAUUGGAAGAGGAUAAUUUUGGAGGAAGCUUAAGGUAUCAAGGGGCUGCCACUCGCCUAAUAGAUGCCUGUUGGACUCACGUUAUGUACUUUGAAAGUAAGCUUUAUCUCUCCCUCUCUUGAGUUUUAGUUUGUCUCAUACUCCUGGUUUCUUUAUCCACUUACGGACGAUUCACAAAUUCUCUGUGAGCUUAUCAGAUAGACUCAACACCAAAAGAUACACCUCUAAUUUGGUGUUGCUUUGUUUUAAUCCUCAAUCUAGAAUUUUGCACUACCUUACAUGUUCUAAGUAAGCUUUUUUUUAAAAAAAUAAAUAUCUUAUUCGUUUAACUACAAGUGAAACAAUAGAAUUACAAAGAUUAAGUGAUUGUGAAUAGAUGGCUAAUAUAUAUAGUGAUAUGUAUUCCUGUGAAACUGUUUGGUGUCACUUUGUCCCCCUUUGACAGGAAAGAUUGAAUGGCACUUUCCACUUUUAUCUUCUAGGUCCCUGAAUCUACGAUCACACUUUGAUGGUCUAAUUAUCUUACUGCAAAAUUGAAUUAUUCCAGCUUUGAUUUACUUUGUAUAUGUUGUGUUAUGUUUCAUGGCUUUCUAUGCUUGAACGUGCAUUCUAUCAAUCAUAUUGACUUAUUUUCCUGUCUGAAAAUAUUUUUCUACAUUAUUUUUCUUAUGGAUUGGCUUCCUACUUCUUCAGGGAGGAGUAUAUUUUAAGUGGCUCACAAUAUAAAAAAAACUCCCUCAGAAAAUGUUUCAGGUACUGCAGAUGUUAAAUUUCAGCUAAUGCAUUUGUACGCGGCUAAAGUGAGAGUGACUUUGUUUUUCCUUCUCCUGAGUCUCCCAAGGUUUGGGAUUUUUUUUGCAUAAAAUGGGUAGAGGGAGAUGAAAGUAGCGUAGAAGAUAUUGCAGGGCACAUGAAGAAAAAUAACAUAUUUGGAUUGACGAGUGAAGACAUUUUAUUGGUAAAAUCAAAUUCAGCAUCAAUUCAACGUUCAUGAGAGAGAGGCAUACAAAGUAGCUAAAAAAAUAUUGACCAAGGUGAAGUUGUUGAACCAGACAAGGUUUCCUAUGGACUAAUGGAAAAGGGUUGAUUUGAUGGUCUGAUAACAAUAUCUCAAGAAAGAGAAUGACGAUGUGGAUGUCAAAUUUGGUAAAGGCUGGCUGCUUCUUUACAGGAUUGACAUAGAAAGGUCACACAUGAUGAAGUUGCAGCUGCCGCGAUGUACGAUCAUUCAGAUUCAAUCGUGUUUCAGGUAUAAACAAUAGAGAAAAGUGAGUCUGCAGGUAUUAUUCUUUGGGCCAUAUGUUUCUGUGUGACCCAUAAAACAUAGUUGACUCAUGUUUGUUUCUCAGUGGUGUUGCUGUGUGAAUGGUGAUGGAAUAUGCAGACAAUAUUGUAUAUUUGAUAAACUGGCAAAUACAUAUUCAAUUCGCCAGCAGAUCCUUGAGCAGUAGUUCAUUUUUGUACAUGGAAUUUAAUCUUUAUCAGUCUGUAUCUAGGUUUAUUUCACAUAGUGGAACUGCUUAUCACUGCAGUUCUCUCUAUUGUCUAUGUAUACUUAUUCAGUUUUCAUGUAUCCUUAGCUUUCUACCUGGAUUCAAGUAAGUUAACCGCAUUUUCCUCUGUCAAUACAAUUCACAUUUUACUCA